rnacentral:lncRNA from 1 species
GCCAGGUCCAGCAGGGGCGCCCCGCAGGUGGGGCCUGGCGGCCUUCACCUUCCGGAUCCCCGACCCGGCGCGACCGGGAGCCGGCAGACUUUUGUCUAGGAGGGAAAACCCGAGCGCGGGGCCGGCCGCGACAUCGCAGCAUCCCAAAGAGCUUUUGGAAUUUGGGUCACUCCCUUCUACCCCGACGUCACACACUUACUGCUCCCGGCAGCGGAGGCUCCAGCGCCUGGCCGCGCACAAACCACGACUUCUACCGUCCUGCCGGGGAAAACUACAGGUCCCGAAAUGCACCGCUACGUGCUCAGGCGCAGUGGGCCGGUGCCGCCGACGAGAGUGCACUACUCCGUGCGCAGGCGCAGUGGGCCCGGGCAGAAGACCUGGGGCGCGCUGCUCACUGCGCAGGCGCAGUGAGCCCAGGCGGGCAGCCCUGGCCAGCAGCUCUUGUCCCUGUGGCUGGAGGCUGAAGUCCACGUAGGCCCCGGCGGGGAGCCGCUGGGGUGUAGGCCGGGUGCCUUUGUCCAAGCCUGGCGCCACUGCCCAGACACUUUACUUCAAAUUUGGCUUUAUUUUCAUCAUUGAUAUUGAUUAAAAUGACAUUCACUUGCCCGGAAAGUAAAAGAGGUCUUCAGCACAAAAUAUUGCUCCAACAAGCAAGCAUAAAUCACUGAGAUUGAAAUGUCAUCUAUCUUUAUUGGCCAACCACAUAAUCUCCAUGAAAAUUCUCAACAGAGAGCAAGGAACUCACUUUCUUCUAAGCAAAGACAAUUUGGAUUUGCCUCGUGGCACUGGCAUCUCUUCAUGUCUGGACGUCAGAUGUUAGCUUGGUGCCUUUCUCCCUUAUCAGGGGGACAUUUUGAACCCAGCCGCACCAAUGUUCUCAUGGAUGGUGGCCUUCGAUUCUUCUAGAUUCAAGAUUUGGCUCUUGUACUUUUCCUGCCAGUCCUCUACAAUGUACUGGUGGUAGGGGUCAUUGGAGUGUUCCCGUCUCUUGGAUUUCACAGUGCUCACCAGGAUGGCCACGAUGAUGAAAGAGAACAUUCCAAUCAUCACCAUGAGGUACAGGAUGACAUAGUAGAAGUUCUCAGCAUCAACUUUGGCUUGGAGGGCCUCUUGCUCAGCUGUUGUGUUCUGGCGCCAAUUGUCCAUAUAAGUAAUAAAAAUCCUUCGGAAG